GGCUGAGCAGAUCUGCAGGCCAGAAAGGAUCAUUAUAUCUGGUAGGGUUACUCCUCCUGAGGUCCUUUCCCAGAAGAGAAGCAGCUGACUGCCACACAUCCAACAUGUAACCCAAUGGGGAGUUUGAUCCUGGCUCCUGGAGAUGGAGGUGGCUGGCUAUACCAAUCCCCAGAAACUGAUCUAGCCUAAUGUGAAGAAAAGCCAUGGAACUUAAACUCAGUGAGGAGUUCAGAGGAGAUGGUAACAGUAGUCUCCUCUGACCUUGAAAUCUAUGAAUAUCCAUUAAUGCACAAACAGGUGUUCAGUACUGUUUGUUAGACUUUUAUGAAGACUGCUGCCAACAUAGUCAACAGGAUAGACGAGUUUUGACUAAAAUUAUGGGGAAGAUGGAACCUUAUAGCAAGAUGGGAUGGUUUCAGAAAUGAAGAAACACAAACGAAAUUGAUGAAUUCUACUUCCUGAAUGAUGCUCUAAAAAUAUUCACAGACAGUAUUGAAGCUCUGGAGUAAAACUCAUUCACAGUAACUUCCUUUUUGGAACUGAUGUCCAAUCUAGAUAAACAGAAAAAUCCAUUUUACACAUUUUGUUUACUUUCACUGAUACACUUCAAUCUGGUGUUCACAACAUAAGCAUAAAAUUUUUAAUUUAUUCUGCAUUCUAGUUUAUCAGUAAAUUUAAAAGUAUUUAU